rnacentral:rRNA from 1 species
UACGUAGGGAGCAAGCGUUGUCCGGAAUCAUUGGGCGUAAAGCGCACGUAGGCGGAUUGUUAAGUCAGGGGUGAAAUCCUGGAGCUCAACUCCAGAACUGCCCUUGAUACUGACGGUCUCGAGUCCGGGAGAGGUGAGUGGAACUGCGAGUGUAGAGGUGAAAUUCGUAGAUAUUCGCAAGAACACCAGUGGCGAAGGCGGCUCACUGGCCCGGUACUGACGCUGAGGUGCGAAAGCGUGGGGAGCAAACAGG